UACAGAGGGUGCAAGCGUUAAUCGGAAUUACUGGGCGUAAAGCGUGCGUAGACGGUUAUGUAAGUCGGGUGUGAAAGCCCCGGGCUCAACCUGGGAAUUGCAUUCGAGACUGCAUAGCUAGGGUGCGGAAGAGGGAAGCGGAAUUUCCGGUGUAGCGGUGAAAUGCGUAGAUAUCGGAAGGAACACCAGUGGCGAAAGCGGGUUGCUGGGCCGACACUGACGCUGAUGCGCGAAAGCUAGGGGAGCGAACGGG
rnacentral:rRNA from 1 species